UUGGGUGAGUGAAAACCUAGAUCAGGUCUAGAAUUUUUGGAUGAGGAAAAAAUAAAGAGAGAAGAAAGUUCUCUUCUAUCUUUUCCACCACCACAUCCUCCUUCUCUGUCUUUAGAUCCGGAGGAGUCUGGAAGAUCCGAAGAGAUGAGCAAAUCGCCAUCACCAGGUCUUCGCACGAACUAGCAUUCCUGAGGAGAUCGAUUAGUGCAAGAUUUCGAGUGGACCAACCAUAAAGGCCGGACACC
rnacentral:lncRNA from 1 species